rnacentral:rRNA from 1 species
GUAGGGAAUCUUCGGCAAUGGACGAAAGUCUGACCGAGCAACGCCGCGUGAGUGAAGAAGGUUUUCGGAUCGUAAAACUCUGUUGGUAGAGAAGAACGUUGGUGAGAGUGGAAAGCUCAUCAAGUGACGGUAACUACCCAGAAAGGGACGGCUAACUACGUGCCAGCAGCCGCGGUAAUACGUAGGUCCCGAGCGUUGUCCGGAUUUAUUGGGCGUAAAGCGAGCGCAGGUGGUUUAUUAAGUCUGGUGUAAAAGGCAGUGGCUCAACCAUUGUAUGCAUUGGAAACUGGUAGACUUGAGUGCAGGAGAGGAGAGUGGAAUUCCAUGUGUAGCGGUGAAAUGCGUAGAUAUAUGGAGGAACACCGGUGGCGAAAGCGGUUCUCUGGCCUGUAACUGACACUGAGGCUCGAAAGCGUGGGGAGCAAACAGGAUUAGAUACCCUUGUAGUCC